UACGUAGGGUGCAGGCGUUAAUCGGAAUUACUGGGCGUAAAGCGUACGCAGGCGGUUUGCUAAGACAGGUGUGAAAUCCCCGGGCUUAACUUGGGAACUGCGCUUGUUACUGGCAAGCUAGAGUGUGGCAGAGGGGGGUAGAAUUCCAGGUGUAGCAGUGAAAUGCGUAGAUAUCUGGAGGAACACCGGUGGCGAAGGCGGCGACCUGGGUAGAUACUGACGCUGAGGUGCGAAAGCGUGGGGAGCAAACAGG
rnacentral:rRNA from 1 species